rnacentral:rRNA from 1 species
UGGGGAAUUUUGCGCAAUGGGGGCAACCCUGACGCAGCAACGCCGCGUGAGUGACGACGCCCUUCGGGGUGUAAAGCUCUGUUGCCCGGGACGAAGUCUUGGAGGUGAACAACCUCCGGGGAUGACGGUACCGGGUGAGGAAGCCCCGGCUAACUCCGUGCCAGCAGCCGCGGUAAGACGGAGGGGGCAAGCGUUGUUCGGAAUCACUGGGCGUAAAGCGCGCGUAGGCGGUACAGUAAGGGGAUCGUGAAAGCCCUCGGCUUAGCUGGGGAAGGGCGGUGCCGACUGCUGAACUGGAGUGGCAGAGGGGAUGGCGGAAUUCCUGGUGGAGCGGUGAAAUGCGUAGAGAUCAGGAAGAACGUCGGUGGCGAAGGCGGCCAUCUGGCUGCACACUGACGCU